rnacentral:rRNA from 1 species
GACGAACGCUGGCGGCGUGCCUAAUACAUGCAAGUCGAACGCUGAAGGAGGAGCUUGCUUCUCUGGAUGAGUUGCGAACGGGUGAGUAACGCGUAGGUAACCUGCCUGGUAGCGGGGGAUAACUAUUGGAAACGAUAGCUAAUACCGCAUAAUAGUAGAUGUUGCAUGACAUUUGCUUAAAAGGUGCAAUUGCAUCACUACCAGAUGGACCUGCGUUGUAUUAUCUAGUUGGUGAGGUAACGGCUCACCAAGGCGACGAUACAUAGCCGACCUGAGAGGGGGGUCGGCCGCACUGGGACUGGGACACGGCCCAGACUCCUUCGGGAAGGAGCAGGAGGGAAUCUUCGGCAAUGGACGGAAGUCUGACCGAACAACGCCGCGGGAGGGAAGAAGGUUUUCGGAUCGUAAAGCUCUGUUGUAAGAGAAGAAAGAGUGUGAGAGUGGAAAGUUCACAGUGUGACGGUAUCUUACCAGAAAGGGACGGCUAACUACGUG